ensembl:lncRNA
CUUUUUUUUUUUUUUUUUUUCCCUUCUGGAAUCCAGGUUCUACUUUAUUUUUUUCUUGACAAGUCUGUGUAAAACAAAGACAUAGCUUUUAAAACUGUCUAACUAAUAUGAUGAAUGUCAAUCACUUAAAAAACUCCACUGUAGCAUAAACACAUACUGUAUACAGCUUUUAUUCUGAAUUAGAAUAAUUGAAUCAAUGACAGUGAUUUGCCAGGAUGUCAAAUCUAUCCAUCAUAUCCUGUCACUACCAGUUUAUUUUUUGUGAUCAAAAUCAAAAAGACUACUAUUUUGUCAUCAGCUAUUUCAUUAGUAGUAACAAUCAGGUUUUCUCUUCUAUAUUUUUUAGAUAUGCCUGUUGUAUUUUUAAUUUCUAAAGACACAAAUCCUUUUAAAAUCUUUUCAAAAUAAAGUUUCAGAACUGAACUGUCAGUUUAGUGGAGAAAAAAGACAUCUACUUUCCCAUGCCAACAUAUUUAAAAUAUUAUCAUUGAUGUCUCAAACAUUUUUUCUCUUUUUGUAUUAUGUGUAACACCGAAUGGAAGUUCUCAUUAGAUACAUAAUUGUGCCUUUUGAAAGUGUGAAAUAAUUUAAAUACUUAGGAUAAAGUGAUUUUUAACAAAGGUGAAGUUUUACAUAGUAUGUCUUUUUAAUGUAAAUAACACAAAACACAGUAUUUCUUUGUGGAAUAUAAAGUCACAAGGCAUAUAAAUUGCUGCCAACAUAUUUAAAUAGGUCAUUGACUUAACAUACAGAGGAGAAAAUAUUAUUAAAGUCACAGUGCCAUUUCUAGCUAAGAUGUUACCUGAUAAUUGUUAGUGUGCACACCAUGAGUGCAUCUGCCUGUAUUUGUGCCCUGUGCAUCUGUAAAAUUUCAGUUUCCAAAGCUUCAGCAGGGUAAUAUUAAAGCUGACAAACAGUUUGAGUAAUAAAAGGAACUCCUUCUAAAAAUCUGCAUUAGUUUGUUUUUUUUCUGAGUCACUAAAUGUGCUUUGUAAAGUAAGUUUUAGGGAAUGCAGAUGGUACAGUGUUGUUUACCUAAGGCAAAGACAUGAGUGUUGGAAGAUUUUUAGUUUUAUAAAGAUAGGGUAACUGAGAGGUGUUUUAAAAUAUUUUGUUCUAUUAUUAGUCUCGUAGAAGGGUGAGAUAUAAGAGAUGUAAUCCAGUUUAAUCUCUCUCUUCACAAUGUGGUCUCUAUUCUUAAGUCUUAGUCAUAGUCUUCUUAAGUCAUAGUCUUCUUAAUACACUUCAUCUCGGUAUUUAUAUACAGAUACAAAAAACCAUAUGAACUUUCAAUCAAGUUUUAAAAAUCUUUACAAGUCCAUUUUUCGCAAUGGAGCAAAAUUUCUUCUCUUCCAAAAUCUCCUAUCAGUUACAACUACAUGUGACAGUGGCUUGGCUACUCCAGCAAGCUGAGAGGUGAGACAGGGUGUGCUCCCUGAUAGCAGGGAAAGAGAGGGUAGAUAUGGGGUAGAUAGAGGGCAGAGAAAAUGUAGAUACAGUGUGGAUAGAGUGUGGGUACAAUACAGAUUCCAGUCAUUGCAGCAGCAGCAGUUUUGACUUGGGAAUCCAAAGAAAUAUUCUCCUGGUGAUUUUCUGUGCCUUUUCCCCAUGACCAUUCUGUGCCUGUCAAGCUCUUGUUUACAAAACAUCCUUUUCCAAUUCUUUCAGUUCUGUCUUCCCUUGACUUGAAGGCAAAUAUUUAACCAAGGGGAGCAGCUCAGGUAAUUGAAAAUGGGCACAGCCUCCUCUGCCAGGCUGUGGCAAUGUGCUCCCAGCUCCUUUUGGCAUCUCCAGAGGCCCCUUGCUGGCUUGGAGGGAAAUCUGUGCCAUCCUCACUCCUGCUCAGAGAUUGCAGAAUGAGGGGGUUUUGUUUGUUGCAGUUUUUUAAGCAGAACUUCCUACUUUUUAGCAGGCUACAAACUGAAACCACCAAACUCAGCAGGGAAACAAUGGAUUCAUCCCAGAGAAGAUGUUCCCAAUUCAGCACAAGAACCUGAUCUUUACAGAAAUUGUGACACACAGUCAAGAAAGCAGUAAUGAAAUUUAAAACAUUGUGCCUUUAAUAUGUCAAAUAAGAAUUCUUUAUAUAAUUCCUGUUGUGUUGAGGUUUUCAAAAUAUAAGUAUUUGGAACAUGAGAAGAAUAUUAUCAUAGAUAAGUCUUUUUCUCUGUUUGUAAAGACAUUUCAAAAGCAAUUUCCAGGGUGCAGCUGAAUUCAAUUUUCUGUAACAGUAGCUGGAAGCAUCUGGAAAUGGGCAUUCAGCUACUCCAGAUUUGAUACCUGUGGUAGUACACAGCUGGUCUAAUAUUUAAAUUUAAUAUUAAGUAGUGAUGCUGCUCCAAACACAGCUUUUGGGAAAGUGCAAAAGCCUAACUCAAAAUAAUCUUUUGCCAUGCCAGUAUUGGAAGGUGAGCUGCUAACCAAGUUUCUCUGAAACCACAAGGUUGUAACACAUCCCAUUAAAAAUGUGGCUUUACUACAAGAACUAAACUCAAACACACACUCACAUGUACUAAACAAGUAUUUCUCCAGGUAUUUCAUAUCUUAGAAAUUUAGUUAAAGUGUUCUUCUUCUUUUACCUGUGCUGGAGAAAUAUCAUAGCUACAGAGCACAACAGAAAUAGAACAGAAGAUGCUUUUAUGCCUUUAAGAGAUGGUGGAAGCAAGUAGUAACCCCCAUGCCAUCUCUUGGGAUUUCUGUUUUCUCUUGUGGGCUACAUGAGUGCAGGAACUGCCUACAUUUCUUUUUCUAAUCACACUGAGGACAUGAUAGUGCUUAUUCAAUAAUAAAUGUACCUGUGUAGGAGAAAAAAAUGAAAGUGAAUCCUCUUCAUCUUAGGGAAAAAAGGCAUCUCACAUGGUGGGGACAUAAGAAAACAAAAAUUCCACCACUCUUUUCUUUUCAGGUUCUAUUUAAUAUAAGGCAAUGUCAGAUUGUUUUCUUUUUCCCCAAAAAAUGAGAAAAAAACCCCUGCAUUUCAGCACCUGAGUAGAUGGAAUUUCAGGACUGUUGGGCAUCAAGCAUCCCACAGCAUCUGCUGAAAACUUUGCUGCUUUAUAUACUCUGAAAGUUAUCAGGCACAUCGAACUAAUUUACAGACCUCCUGUUCAUAUCAAAACAAGGACACCUUUUAUGUUUUAAGCAUUUUAUUGCAUGAGGAUUUUCUGGACCUGCAGAACUUAAUCUGUCUUCCAGGGAAGUCAGUGAUAAUUUAGACCAGGAGCAACCUGGUAGGAUAAGGUCCAGAAGAUCUUUUACAAUUUAGCAGAUCUAGAGAAUUUUUAACUGUAUAUUCCUCUAUAUAUUAAAAAAAAUGUAUUUUAAUAUCUCCUGGCAUUGAAGAUAAAUGUAAACCCCAGAAUAUAGCAAGAUUUAAAAAAAAAAAAGUCUCUGUGCUGGCAGAGUUUGAGCCUGAAUGUUCAUAGCCUCAUAAUCUUCUCAGCACUUAGAGUACCAGAGGUAUUCUCUUAGAAGUCUUCAAAUGGGUGAAUUUUGGUGCACCUUCAGAUCCUUCUUUUGAAGUCAGGUUGAAGCAGAGGCACUAAAGAAAGCUCUUGCUGGAAUUUCAUGAGGCUGGACUCAGGGAAGAACAGAAAGGAUGAAUAGAUUGAAUUUAGAUAUGAAAUCAAGCAGUUUUCAGUGCCUAUAUUCUGAGAUAGUUUAUUUUGUGGAGAAAAAGCUGUAAACCUGUUAAAAAUAUAUUGCUUGAAUGAAACUUUUCAGCAGUUCUUAGAAUGCAUUUAUUUAAUGCAAACCAAGUCAGAGCUUCUACUCAUAGGCCAGGGCUGCUUGUGCAGGGCAUCAUUCUUGCAUGGCAACAAAACAAAUCUGGCUUCCUGACCUGUUUUAAAUCAGGACAGGGAUUCUUCUAGCAGCGCUUGACACCAGUUCUAGCUCCACUGUCUGCAGCUCUCAGACACAGGUGGAAACCACAGCUGUAGCACUUCAUUCCUGACCAGGGAAGUUUCAGAGCAUCCCUUUCCUUCCUAGGCACAUUCAGCAUCUCCGUGGAUCCAGCAGGUGAAUUUGGCAGACACAAAGUUCCUCAGCUGUGCAAUGAAACUCCUGCCACCAGCAUGGCCUUGCGCUGGGAAAGGUGAGCUAAUCUCAGGAACACAGGAUGGGUCAGGGACCACAGGGAGUCAGCAGGUCCAGCCUCCCUGCCCAAGCAGGGCCAUCCCAGAGCACUGGAUGGGUCUGGAAUAUCUCAGUGAGGCAGCUCCACAGCCUCCCUGGGCAGCCUGUCCCAGUGCUUAUCAGCCAUGAGGAAGGACGUUCUUCCUCGUGUCCAGCUGGAGUUUCCUGUGCAUUUCAAUCUCUGCCCGUUGCCUCGUGUGCUACUGCUCAGCACCAUGGAAAAUGCCUCCUUGUCAAAUAUUGACAGACUUGGACAGGAUCCUCUCUCAGCCAUCUCUUCUGGAGGCUGGACAGGCCCAGCUCCCUCAGUCCAUCCUCGUAGGAGAUGCUCCAGUCCCUUCAUCAUCUUUGUUGCCCUCCCCUGGAUCUGCUCCAGGAUCCUCCUUGUCUCUCCUGUGCUGGGGAGCCCAAAGCUGGGCACAGCACUGAUAAAUAAAACAACUCAUCCAAGACCAGAUGGGGAGUGGCAGAGAGAGAAAAGCAUUUGGAAUAAUUCUCCAGCGUGAUGAAAUUUCCAUUUGUGGUUCUUCCCAGCCUAUGUCCAGGAUAGUUCAGCAAUUUUGGAAAAUUACUUGAGUGAGAAGGAUUUUGACAACACGAGGAGGAUUUUGGCAGCACACCCAUGGAGACAGUGGAGCAGUAAGUCCAUCUGUGUGGGAGAUUGUGUGGGAGUCUUCCCAGGAGCCAGAUCAAAACCAGGGGGUUCAUCCCAAAUCACCAAGGCUCAUGGCUGAGGGGCUUCAAACAUCAUUAUUGAUUCUCCAACUUCACACAGGCAAAUAGAACUUGUCCCAACAAAGCAGAGGGAAAAAGGAUGGAAGCACAGGGAGAGUGGAUGAAGCCACAAUUACUUCAGGGGAGUUAUUUUGCAGUCCUUCACUUUAUAAGUCCCAAUGAAGUUUUAAACAUACCCUAGCCCAAACAGGUGCAAACCAACAGCAGUUCACAGAGAGCAAUUGAAUCAUAAUUUAGAAAAUCAUCAGAACUGACAAAAACUUAGUUUAAAUAAGAAUCUAAGGAUUUGAAUAUGUACUUUGCAAAGUAGCAGUGUUGACUUAAAUUCGGAGAAAUCAAAGUGGACAACUUGCUUCUUUAAAAGCAAAAAAAAAAAAAAAAUUAUAACAUUUAAAUGGCAGGGUUUUUACUUAAUCCAGCCUGACAGAGGUAGUUUUAAAAAUAAAUAAACCCUCCCCUGCAGUAUUUGAAGCACAAAGCUGCAGAAUACAGAGUAUGAAUCCAACUUGGCCAAGUAAAAUCUAAAGGGUAAAACAUUAACACUUACAGAGAGAAAUAUAUUUCUUCACUCAUUAUAAAUUAACAUAUUUAUUGUAAUGAGAUGAACAUGUUUGUCUGCUGCAUGCAGUUCCAUGUGAAUCAGAUCCCUUCUGUUGCUCUUUAGGUAAUUUCUGUGGAAUAACUGUUCAUAAACUUCUUAAAAUCCGUUGGUGUAGGCCUGACCUGAAGGAGGUUAUCUGUGAAUCUACAGACUUCUCUGGUGCAGCUGGAAAAGCUUGUAUGUCCCAGGAGAGGAAGAGCUGCAAUUUGCAACCCUCACCAAUUUUAGCUGCCAGAGAGUACGUGAGGUCUGUCAGGUGCCUGGAGGCAACUGCAACCUCUGCUGGAGGAUUCCAGGCGAUUUGCAGCUCCUGUCAGGCACCUGAAGGUAACAAGGAUCCUCCUGGGGCACUCACAAAACCUCUGCUCACCAUCUGACCCACCUACAAUUCGACCCAGGCAGUGAGGCUCCAGCACCAGAGACCUCUACCAGCCCAGCAAAACCAGUAUCAGGGUCCUUUGUGGGGGCAAAGCAGCUCCAGCACACAGCCUGACAGAACCAGACACACAUUUUCAAUAUCAUGAUCCUCUCACCAGAGGUAUAACCAAGAUGGGGAAAGGAAACAGCACAGAAGACCCUGAACAUCUCAGUGUGCUAAAACACAGUCAUCAGAGGUCAAAACUUGAAGGAAAGCAGGUUUCCUGGAGACUACCACCACCUUCCAAAGAAACGGCAGGGGUUCUG